CAUGGGUCGAUACCCUAAUUUCAUCAUCGUCUUCUAUUCUCCGCCGUAUGCUUUUGAUCCAUGGUGAUUUAGGGCUCAACGGUGUUUCAUCUUCCAUAGUCUAUAAUCUCUUAAACCUCAUCUUCCUCUUCGAUCUCAAGUGUUCUUCCUCUUCAAUGGCGACUUUUUCUUCUUCUUCUCACGAAUUUGCCAUGUCUGCAUCUGCUAAAAAAAUUCUGCAGAAGCUCUAGAGCAAUAUCUUAUGCUCGUUAAGGUUUAAGUGUUUAGUGUUUUGGUUCAAGUCUUGGUGAAAACGUUUUCGCGGAAAAUCUCUUCAAGACCAACUCUAUUGACUCAACAGUUCCAGAAGUCAUGUUUCAGAGUGCGGUGAAGAAGUUACAACAGGAGUAGUUCAGACCAGCAGAGCACGUUUCACUUUAAUCAAAAAAGAUGCUGCAGUACAUCUUCUUGGAGUGAAACAGCUUUGCCUUCUAUUUGCACAUUUCUUCACUCUUUUUUUCUGUCCUGAUCCUAAUUAUCAUCAUUACUUGCCAAACAAAAUGUUACUAUUCUAUAAGUAAAUAAUUAGCUGCAUCUUGCAAGCUUUUGUUUCCUUGUUCAUCCAACUUUUGUAAUCGUCACAAAAUGAGCGAGUAAUUCUCAAA